rnacentral:rRNA from 1 species
GAUGAACGCUAGCUACAGGCUUAACACAUGCAAGUCGAGGGGAAACGGCAUCGAAAGCUUGCUUUUGAUGGGCGUCGACCGGCGCACGGGUGAGUAACGCGUAUCCAACCUGCCCAUCACUUGGGAAUAACCUUGCGAAAGUAAGACUAAUGCCCAAUGACAUCCCACGAAGGCAUCCGAAUGGGAUUAAAGAUUUAUCGGUGAUGGAUGGGGAUGCGUCUGAUUAGCUUGUUGGCGGGGUGACGGCCCACCAAGGCAACGAUCAGUAGGGGUUCUGAGAGGAAGGUCCCCCACAUUGGAACUGAGACACGGUCCAAACUCCUACGGGAGGCAGCAGUGAGGAAUAGUGGUCAAUGGGCGAGAGCCUGAACCAGCCAAGUAGCGUGCAGGAGGACGGCCCUAUGGGUUGUAAACUGCUUUUAUAAGGGAAUAAAGUGGGUCACGUGUGACUUUUUGCAUGUACCUUAUGAAUAAGGACCGGCUAAUUCCGUG